rnacentral:other from 1 species
UCCUAAAGUGUUCGUCGCUAAAUUUGUUACUUAACACUUUUGACCGAACAUUAAAUCGUUGGGAGCUACUUAUUACCGUAGCGGCAAACAUGCCCCAUUUGGAGCGGGACGUUUAAAGUUACGACUAGUGCACCCCCUUGCUAUUCAUGCGGGAUCAAAACGAUGUUGUUUAGCAAGACGGCACAUUUGGGAU